rnacentral:rRNA from 1 species
CCCGCACAAGCGGUGGAGCAUGUGGUUUAAUUCGAUGAUACGCGAGGAACCUUACCUGGGCUCAAAUGUAUGUUGACGUAUUCUGAAAGGGAUACUUCUUCGGACAAUAUACAAGGUGCUGCAUGGUUGUCGUCAGCUCGUGCCGUGAGGUGUCGGGUUAAGUCCCAUAACGAGCGCAACCCCUAUCAUUAGUUGCCAUCAGGUCAAGCUGGGGACUCUAAUGAAACUGCCUACGCAAGUAGUGAGGAAGGUGGGGAUGACGUCAAAUCAGCACGGCCCUUACGUCCAGGGCUACACACGUGCUACAAUGGCCGGUACAAAGGGCAGCUACCUGGUGACAGGAUGCUAAUCUCAAAAGCCGGUCUCAGUUCGGAUCGGAGUCUGCAACCCGACUCCGCGAAGCUGGAAUCGCUAGUAAUCGCGCAUCAGCCAUGGCGCGGUGAAUACGUUCCCGGGCCUU